CUGAGAUGACAAGCAGAUACACAAAGGAAAUGCAAGAGAUCUACGAGCUUCUCAAACAAAGGAAUGAGAUUCAUGCCUUGUACACAAAUAUUCCGCUAAUUAAGCGAAGUUCGAGUAGGAACAAGAGUAAGGCUGCCUCCAAAGAGGCCAAAGAAGACGGUGAAGAGACGGGAAACAUUCUACGAGGGACAGAACGAAGAAGAAGAAAUGGUAUGAUAUACACUUAAAAGUAGACAAGAGAAAGCCAUGCUGAACAGGUGAAAAAGAAGUCAGCAACUUUCGGGGUCCGAAAACUCUCCUCGUGCACCUAAUUUUUUUCUGUGGCGCAACAUACAUGCAGCCAAGUAAGGCAGUGCACCAUAAUAUGUUGAUCGUGAAGUGAAGAAGAUGGUUUACCCAUUUCUCCAGCAUAUCAAGGACGAUAACAACUCAUUGUUAUUGUAUGAUUCUUUCUUUUCUGUUUUUUCCCCGGUCAUAUCCUUCUUCUUUCUUGCCUU